rnacentral:rRNA from 1 species
GAGAGGACCGGAGUGGACGCAUCACUGGUGUUCGGGUUGUCAUGCCAAUGGCACUGCCCGGUAGCUAAAUGCGGAAGAGAUAAGUGCUGAAAGCAUCUAAGCACGAAACUUGCCCCGAGAUGAGUUCUCCCUGAGACUUUAAGUCUCCUGAAGGAACGUUGAAGACGACGACGUUGAUAGGCCGGGUGUGUAAGCGCAGCGAUGCGUUGAGCUAACCGGUACUAAUGAACCGUGAGGCUUAACCUU